GGACGGGAUUUCCGCUUUCGGGCGGGAUGAGAGUGGCGGACGGGUGCGCAACGCGUAUGCAACCUACCCCCUACCGGGGUAUAGCCCGGGGAAACCCGGAUUAACCCCCCAUGGCCCCCUUUGCCGGCAUCGGGACUGGGGUAAAGGAUUACGGUAGGUGAUGGGCAUGCCUAGGAUUAGCUGGUUGGCGGGGUAACGGGCCACCAAGGCGACGAUGGCUAGGGGCUCUGAGAGGAGAAUCCCCCACACUGGUACUGAGACACGGACCAGACUCCUACGGGAGGCAGCAGUAAGGAAUAUUGGUCAAUGGGGGCAACCCUGAACCAGCCAUGCCGCAUGCAGGAAGACUGCCCUAUGGGUUGUAAACUGCUUUUGUACGGGAAUACCACUGGUAUGUAUACCACCCUGAAUGUACCGUAAGAAUAAGGAUCGGCUAACUCCGUG
rnacentral:rRNA from 1 species